CUACGAAUCCCGUUUGAAGUUUUGUGGCAGCGUUCCGACAGAAGCAGUCCAUCGACCGAACUGUAAGGAGUCCGAACCGAAGAAGCGCAGCUUCCGACCCGAAGCGUUCUGCUAUGGGUCACGAGGCGACCGGGUUCAGGCCGCCGACGGCCAGGGACCGCCCCGACGCUGGCGCCGCGGCCCCUCGCUCCCGCCUCCCCCGCCGCCGCCAGAUGCGCAAGACCUUCAACAACCUCAAGGUCACCAUUCUCUGCGGCGUCGUCACCAUCCUCGUCCUCCGCGGCACUGUCGGUAUCGGCAACCUCGCCGGCUCCGGCGGUGACGCCUUCGCCGCCGACCACAAGGUCGUCGAGGACAUCGACCGCAUCCUCCGCGAGAUACGCUCCGAUUCCGACCCCGACGACGAGGACCAGAUCCCCUCCGGCUUCAAUUCCACCACCGCUACCGCCCUAAACUAUACCUCCUCUGACGCCCUCUUUGCCGCUGCCGCCGCUAACUACACCCUCGGCCCCAAGAUAUUCGACUGGGACGUGCAGCGGCGGCGGUGGCUGGCGGAGAACAGGGGGUUCCCGAGCCAAACCCCAGCCGGAAAGCCGCGGAUCAUCCUCGUCACCGGAUCGCCGCCCAACCCCUGCGACAAUCCAAUCGGCGACCACUACCUCUUGAAGGGGACCAAGAACAAGAUCGACUACUGCCGCCUCCACGGGAUCGAGAUAGUCUACAACAUGGCACACCUCGACCGGGAGCUCGCCGGGUACUGGGCCAAGCUCCCGCUGAUCCGGCGGCUGAUGCUGUCGCACCCGGAGGUGGAGUGGAUCUGGUGGAUGGACAGCGAUGCGCUCUUCACCGACAUGGCCUUCGAGAUCCCUCUCGACCGCUACGCCGCUCACAACCUCGUCGUCCAUGGCUACCCUGAUCUCAUUUUCGAGAAGCAUUCCUGGAUCGGCCUCAACACCGGAAGCUUCUUGCUGCGGAAUUGCCAGUGGAGUCUCGACUUGCUCGAUGCCUGGGCGCCAAUGGGACCUAAAGGCCCAAUUCGCGACGAGGCCGGCAAGAUGCUCACGGCAAACCUGAAGGGCCGGCCGGCAUUCGAGGCGGACGAUCAAUCGGCGCUCAUUUACUUGCUAUUGUCGCAGCAGGAUCGGUGGGGCGACAAGAUCUAUAUCGAGAAUUCAUAUUACUUGCACGGAUAUUGGGCUGGGUUGGUGGAUAGGUAUGAGGAGAUGAUGGAGAAGUAUCAUCCAGGCUUAGGGGACGAGAGGUGGCCAUUCGUGACGCACUUUGUUGGCUGUAAGCCAUGUGGUAGCUAUGGGGACUAUCCUGUGGAGAGGUGCUUGAGAAGCAUGGAGAGAGCUUUCAAUUUUGCGGACAACCAGGUGUUGAGGAUGUACGGGUUUGCGCAUGGGAAUCUGGCCAGCCCCAAGAUUAGGAGGACCGAGAAGCAAACGGCGAAGCCAUUGGAGUUCUUGGAUCAGCUCAAUCUUGAAGCCAGGGUAGAAACCAGAGGGUGAGGAAGGCCAUCUAUAUAAUCCUUGUGCCGCAAAAUCUCAGAUUCAUUCUGCAAACUCAUUUUGAGUGCAACUACCAAGGGUGAAACUUUUGCCCUUUCUGACUUGAUGAAUUGGGUGAUUUUUCUAUCUUAUGCAAACUACCAAGGUAUUAUUUCAUUUAUUAACACAAACAGUGUUGGUUACCUUUGAUCUUUCUCAAAUUACUCCAUCUUCCAUCUCUUUGCAUGCUACUGUGUGCUUUUCUUGGCAGUACUGGAUUGAAAUUGCAGUAUGGGAGUUCAAGCAUUAAUCUUCUCUGAUGGUGGAUAUUCAGAUGCUUCUAAAGGUUUGUCGUAUCAAACAAAUGAUGAAAGUGUGGUGUCUCCUACAGUGCUUCUUUCUCGCUCUUGAAUGGAGAAGUACCAUAUGACAGCCACUGAGGAGAACAAAGAUUUGAGUGCAAAAAUCACCCACCAUUUUUCAGUCUUAAAGAAUGGAAAGGUUUUAUGCUACGGUGAUUCUCGCUGUUGACUGUGUUUGGUGAAUUGUUGGACAAAAGCCUCCGACUGGAAAAUAUUCUACUUCGAGAAGAUGGCCGGCAAAUGCCGUCUGACAACUACAUCUAAUACUUAUCGAACCUUUGAGGCCCUAAUGCAAUGAAAUGUUCUUCCUUCAGCUAUCAGUUGCCUUCAAAUUUCAUGUCGAUGCUCAUCUGGCACUUCUCUUGACAUGGUGGGAAUCUGGUAGCUGAUACUCGGACUAUCUUAUCUUCUUUCUUCUUGACAUACCACUGCAGCUUGCAUGACACUAAUGGAUAUUCCAUUCUUUUUGUCAUGAGAUUAUUGAAUGAUCUUAUUGAAGAGGCAAAUUUCUUACCAAAGGUACUGAAUUAAUACAGUUCAUCAGUAAUGGAGCACACCAAGUUUGAUUGUAGUGAUUCAUUGCAUUCUUCGCUCCGUAUAUAUUUUUUAUUUUCAUAUUAUCUUUUGAUUGAAGAAAUAUUUAUCCCAGUUGUUAUUUGACAUCAACUUAAUACAAGAUAUUGGAAGGAUAUUUCAUCAGUA